rnacentral:rRNA from 1 species
ACGAACGCUGGCGGCGUGCUUAACACAUGCCAGUCGCGCGGAAAGGCCACUUCGGUGGUACUCGAGCGGCGACCGGGUGAGUAACACGUGAGUAAUCUGCCCCUCACUUUGGGAUAGCCACCGGAAACGGUGAUUAAUACCGGAUAUGACCAUAUGUCGCAUGGCGUGUGGUGGAAAGUUUUUCGGUGAGGGAUGUGCUCGCGGCCUAUCAGCUUGAUGGUGAGGUAAUGGCUCACCAUGGCUUCGACGGGUAGCCGGCCUGAGAGGGUGACCGGUCACACUGGGACUGAGACACGGCCCAGACUCCUACGGGAGGCAGCAGUGGGGAAUAUUGGACAAUGGGCGGAAGCCUGAUCCAGCAACGCCGCGUGAGGGAUGACGGCCUUCGGGUUGUAAACCUCUUUCAGUACCGACGAAGCGCAAGUGACGGUAGGUACAGAAGAAGCACCGGCCAACUACGUG